rnacentral:rRNA from 1 species
CGUGGGUAACCUGCCUUAUAGUGGGGGAUAGCCUUUCGAAAGGAAGAUUAAUACCGCAUAAGAUUGUAGUAUCGCAUGAUAUAGCAAUUAAAAGGAAGCAAUCCGCUAUAAGAUGGACCCGCGUCGCAUUAGCUAGUUGGUGAGGUAAUGGCUCACCAAGGCGACGAUGCGUAGCCGACCUGAGAGGGUGAUCGGCCACAUUGGGACUGAGACACGGCCCAGACUCCUACGGGAGGCAGCAUG